GACGAACGCUGGCGGCGUGCUUUACACAUGCAAGUCGAACGGAAAGGCCCUGCUUUUGUGGGGUGCUCGAGUGGCGAACGGGUGAGUAACACGUGAGUAACCUGCCCUUGACUUUGGGAUAACUUCAGGAAACUGGGGCUAAUACCGGAUAGGAGCUCCUGCUGCAUGGUGGGGGUUGGAAAGUUUCGGCUGUUGGGGAUGGACUCGCGGCUUAUCAGCUUGUUGGUGGGGUAGUGGCUUACCAAGGCUUUGACGGGUAGCCGGCCUGAGAGGGUGACCGGCCACAUUGGGACUGAGAUACGGCCCAGACUCCUACGGGAGGCAGCAGUGGGGAAUAUUGCACAAUGGGCGGAAGCCUGAUGCAGCAACGCCGCGUGCGGGAUGACGGCCUUCGGGUUGUAAACCGCUUUCGCCUGUGACGAAGCGUGAGUGACGGUAAUGGGUAAAGAAGCACCGGCUAACUACGUG
rnacentral:rRNA from 1 species